rnacentral:rRNA from 1 species
CUAGCCGUAAACGAUGGAUACUAGGCGUUGCUUGUAUCGACCCGAGCAGUGCCGUAGCUAACGCGUUAAGUAUCCCGCCUGGGAAGUACGCACGCAAGUGUGAAACUCAAAGGAAUUGACGGGGGCCCGCACAAGCGGUGGAGUAUGUGGUUUAAUUCGAUGCAACGCGAAGAACCUUACCAGGGCUUGACAUGUCGCGAACCCCGGUGAAAGCUGGGGGUGCCUUCGGGAGCGCGAACACAGGUGG